rnacentral:rRNA from 1 species
UACGUAGGGUGCGAGCGUUAAUCGGAAUUACUGGGCGUAAAGCGUGCGCAGGCGGUUUUGUAAGACAGAUGUGAAAUCCCCGGGCUUAACCUGGGAACUGCAUUUGUGACUGCAAGACUAGAGUGCGGCAGAGGGGGGUAGAAUUCCACGUGUAGCAGUGAAAUGCGUAGAUAUGUGGAGGAAUACCGAUGGCGAAGGCGACCCCCUGGACCAACACUGACGCUGAGGUACGAAAGCGUGGGUAGCAAGCAGG